GAGGGUAUAGCUCAAGUGGUAGAGUGCAUGCUUAGCAUGCAUGAGGUCCUGGGUUCAAUCGCUAGUACCUCCU
rnacentral:tRNA from 1 species